rfam:Freshwater sediment metagenome lwMethane_BCGO13249_x1, whole genome shotgun sequence.
GAGGGGAGGCCCCUCGGAGCCGACUUGCAGGAGUUGGCUUCAAACCACCUCAAGCUGCUGUGGUCAAAAGCCAUGGUGGUGAGCGUUGUGGAAAAGUCACGGCAUAAGACUGUGGCAGGU